UCAGAGUUUGAUCCUGGCUCAGGACGAACGCUGGCGGCGUGCCUAAUACAUGCAAGUCGAGCGGACAGAUGGGAGCUUGCUCCCUGAUGUUAGCGGCGGACGGGUGAGUAACACGUGGGUAACCUGCCUGUAAGACUGGGAUAACUCCGGGAAACCGGGGCUAAUACCGGAUGGUUGUUUGAACCGCAUGGUUCAAACAUAAAAGGUGGCUUCGGCUACCACUUACAGAUGGACCCGCGGCGCAUUAGCUAGUUGGUGAGGUAACGGCUCACCAAGGCAACGAUGCGUAGCCGACCUGAGAGGGUGAUCGGCCACACUGGGACUGAGACACGGCCCAGACUCCUACGGGAGGCAGCAGUAGGGAAUCUUCCGCAAUGGACGAAAGUCUGACGGAGCAACGCCGCGUGAGUGAUGAAGGUUUUCGGAUCGUAAAGCUCUGUUGUUAGGGAAGAACAAGUACCGUUCGAAUAGGGCGGUACCUUGACGGUACCUAACCAGAAAGCCACGGCUAACUACGUGCCAGCAGCCGCGGUAAUACGUAGGUGGCAAGCGUUGUCCGGAAUUAUUGGGCGUAAAGGGCUCGCAGGCGGUUUCUUAAGUCUGAGGUGAAAGCCCCCGGCUCAACCGGGGAGGGUCAUUGGAAACUGGGGAACUUGAGAGCAGAAGAGGAGAGUGGAAUUCCACGUGUAGCGGUGAAAUGCGUAGAGAUGUGGAGGAACACCAGUGGCGAAGGCGACUCUCUGGUCUGUAACUGACGCUGAGGAGCGAAAGCGUGGGGAGCGAACAGGAUUAGAUACCCUGGUAGUCCACGCCGUAAACGAUGAGUGCUAAGUGUUAGGGGGUUUCCGCCCCUUAGUGCUGCAGCUAACGCAUUAAGCACUCCGCCUGGGGAAUACGGUCGCAAGACUGAAACUCAAAGGAAUUGACGGGGGCCCGCACAAGCGGUGGAGCAUGUGGUUUAAUUUGAAGCAACGCGAAGAACCUUACCAGGUCUUGACAUCCUCUGACAAUCGUAGAGAUAGGACGUCCCCUUCGGGGGCAGAGUGACAGGUGGUGCA
rnacentral:rRNA from 2 species